AAGGCUGAAGGCUGGUGAGUGGUGACCUGAGUGAGAGGCCUGGGUGACAUCUGACCUCUAACUGGGUGUGCGGCUGACCCUGGAGGAUACGGCUCAACAAUGGGAGGCACGUGCCGUGGCCUUGUCACCACGGCAACACAGGACCUUUAGGAACGCUGUUUAAAUGUACUGUAUCUGUUCGACCUGGACUUUUAUAACAAAGUGUGAAGGAUCACCUGCUUUGACUUCAAUAACAUUUCUGUGGAGACUUUCUCACACCUAGAGGGGCACCCAGGGGGGGACACACCCACCUCGGCCUCGCCUCUGUGAUUUGCACGACUGUCGCAUUUGGUUCCAAUGAGGAAUAGGACCAAGGGGAAUGUUCUCUCAUCCUCUCUUUCAUCAGUCUUGGAUAAAAUCUUCUAUUAAUCUCUAUAAACUGUUUCAAAACGGCUUUGAUUAAUCAAGUACUUUAUCUCAAUGGCUCUGCCUUUUUCGUGCAUCUGUUGAAAAGCUUGCCAAGUAAAAUAAACGUUUACUGAAGA